ACACGACUCUCGGCAACGGAUAUCUCGGCUCUCGCAUCGAUGAAGAACGUAGCGAAAUGCGAUACCUGGUGUGAAUUGCAGAAUCCCGCGAACCAUCGAGUCUUUGAACGCAAGUUGCGCCCGAAGCCACUUGGCCAAGGGCACGCCUGCCUGGGCGUCACGC
rnacentral:rRNA from 1 species